rnacentral:SRP_RNA from 1 species
AGUUAGGUCCCGUGCAAGGCGGAACCGUGAACCCCGUCAGGUCCGGAAGGAAGCAGCGGUAACGGCGACACCCCUGUGCCACGGGGUAACCUGGCUGUC